UAGGACUAAGGGCAAAGUAGCCUAUUGUCUGUCUGUCUGUCUGUCCGUCCGCUCCUGACAGCAAAGGCUGGUUUCUCUUAGGACAAGACGAGCGCUCUGAGCCUCAGCAAUGUUGCCGGGGUUUUCUAUAUCCUUGUGGGCGGCCUCGGGCUGGCCAUGAUGGUGGCGCUGAUCGAGUUCUGCUACAAGUCUCGGGCCGAGUCCAAGCGAAUGAAACUCACCAAGAACACGCAGAACUUCAAACCGGCUCCCGCCACCAGCACCCAGAAUUACGCUACGUACAGAGAAGGCUACAACGUGUAUGGCACAGAAAGUGUGAAAAUCUAGGGAUCCUCACCCUGACAGCACGCAAGAGGAGAAGCAGCAGAGAAUGUGGCUACUUCACAGAUUCGGACCACCUGAGCCAGUCGUACUCUCUCCGAGGUGUCAGGCAUGACACACAUUGAUGAUGGUGCAAUGUACUUUUAAUAGGAAAAACUGAUAUUUUUUCCUUCAGUGCCUUAUGGAAGACUCUGAGACUCACAACAAUGCAAACCAUCACCGAAAUAUUCUUGCUUUGCUUGAAAGAAG